rnacentral:rRNA from 1 species
CCUACGGGGUGCUGCAGUGAGGAAUAUUGGUCAAUGGGCGCGAGCCUGAACCAGCCAAGUAGCGUGAAGGAUGACUGCCCUACGGGUUGUAAACCUCUUUUAUAAAGGAAUAAAGUGCGGCACGUGUGCCUUUUUGUAUGUACUUUAUGAAAAAGGAUCGGCUAACUCCGUGCCAGCAGCCGCGGUAAUACGGAGGAUACGAGCGUUAUCCGGAUUUAUUGGGUUUAAAGGGUGCGUAGGCGGUCCUUUAAGCCGGCGGUCAAAUGUCGGGGCUCAACCCCGGCCUGCCGUCGGAACUGGGGGCCUUGAGUGGGCGAGAAGUAUGCGGAAUGCGUGGUGUAGCGGUGAAAUGCAUAGAUAUCGCGCAGAACUCCGAUUGCGAAGGCAGCAUACCGGCGCCCUACUGACGCUGAGGCACGAAAGUGCGGGGAUCGAACAGGAUUAGAUACCCGUGUAGUC